AUUCGAACAUACAUUUCUUGUAUUCACAAUAUAACACAAUGUUUAGAUAUUUUUGUGUACUUUUCGUGUCCGUAUUGCUUGUAAAUAUGAGCUUACAAAGACCAAGCCCUCAGAAAGAAGAACAAGAAGAAAAAGCAGGUGGAGCGGAGGAAGAAGAAGCUGCGGGAGAAAAUGACGGAGAGGAAAGUGCAGCAGGCGACGAGGAAAAUAAUGAAGAAACGGAACCAAGUGAAGGUGGAGAACGUCGCAAACGAAGUAUAGAUGAGGAAGUCUUCAAUUACUUUAAUGCUCCAAUAUGAGAAGAUAAUUCUUGGUGCUUUAUUUAUUAUGAAUUAAUAUAUUAUUGUGUGGAAAUAUAAAAUGUAAAAAUAUAAAAAA